rnacentral:rRNA from 1 species
GACGAACCGUUCGAACGUUAUUCGGAAUCACUGGGCUUAAAGGGUGCGUAGGCGGCUUGGCAAGUUGGGUGUGAAAUCCCAGGGCUCAACCCUGGAAUUGCGCUCAAAACUGCCAAGCUUGGGGAAAGUAGGGGUGAGCGGAACUGAUGGUGGAGCGGUGAAAUGCGUUGAUAUCAUCAGGAACACCGGUGGCGAAAGCGGCUCACUGGACCUUUUCUGACGCUGAGGCACGAAAGCUAGGGUAGCGAACAGG